rnacentral:rRNA from 1 species
UUUUAAGACAUGCAAAUCGUUGUUCCUAAAAAUUUAUCUUUAUUUAAAGAAAUUCAAAUAAAGAUAAAUAAUAAGAAUAAGGUGUAAAGGUGAGUAAUAUAAAUUAGAUACCUUAUAGACUCCUUAAUUAGGAGAUAAUUUAUUUCUCUAUCUUAAUAAGAUAGGGAUACUUAUUUAAAUAAGGAAAGUAAAGAUAAAUUAGCUAUUUAUUAAAAAAAGGAAAUUUUCUGCUAUAAGAUUCGAUUUAUUUUGUUUAAAGGUAGUUGGAAGGGUAAAUGCCUCCCAAGCCGAUGAUCAAAAGCCAUGUUUGAUAGAGCAGAUGGCCACAUUGGGUAUGAAAAGCCCCAAGUAGAAUUAUCUACCAGCAGUCAAGAAUAUUAGUCAAUGCUCGCAAGAGUGAACUAGCUAACUGAAAUCACAGGAUCCACUACGUGUGGUGAAUGUUAUAACGUAAGGGAAAAAAAUGAUAUUACCUUACUAUUAGUGUUGUCCAAAACUGGUGCCAGAAGACUCGGUAAGGCCAGAGACGCAUACGUUAGUCGUCCUAAUCAGGCGUAAAGGGUAUGUAGGCUGCUUUAAAAGUUUUAUGUUUAAUAGCUCUGUUUAAAUAUAUAAUAAAAAAUAUUAAUAAUUAAACAGUAAAUAUACAAUUAAUUAAAGCUAGAAUCAAAUUGAGGAUAAGUUAAAUAAUACUUAGUGUAGGGUUUGAAUCUGGUGAUACUAGGGGGAAUACUAACGGUGAAAGCUUUUUAUCUAGAAAUGAUUGACGCUGAGAAACGAAGGUGAGAAUAGGAAAUAGGAUUAGAUACCCAGAUACCUCUCACAGUCAACGAUGAAUGGUGGUUGUUAGUUAUUUAAAUUUAACUGAUAACGAUGUUAACACGAUAACCAUUCCGCCUUGCGAGUACGGUUGCAAAACUGAAACCAAAAAAAUUAGUCGGUCUCGAAGCAAACGAAGUGAAGCAUGUUAUUUAAUACGAUAAUACGCGUAAAAUCUUACCAGUCCUUGUAUAUCCAAUUUUUUUUAUGUAAAAAUAAGAAAGAUUGAGUAAUUUUUUUAAAUUAAAAAAUUCGUUUACAGGUGUUGCAUGGCUGUCGUCAGUCCGUGCCGUGAGAAGUGAGGUUAACUCCACUAACGGACGAAAUCCCUGCUGUUAAUUUUUACUUAACAGUUAAUGAGAUUUAUAAGAUUUCAUUUGGGGCGAAGACAAGUCGUUAUGGUCCUCAUGGAC